AAGUGAUGAAUCACUAAAUUCUAUUCCUGAAAUCAUUAUUACACUGUAUGUUAACUUGGACUUAAAUUUUUAAAAAGGAAAAUAAAACAUACUAUCUCUUAUAUAUUUAAAUAAGUGGGUUUUCCUUAAAGUAAAUCACUCUGACAAGAUAUAUGCCUCUUUUGUUGCUGUCACUGCUCAAAUAGUUUGGAAAUAACAUUCAGCACUCCCCCCAUCUUUUAAAUAUUUUUAAGAGCAGCAAAUUUUUAAGAGAGUAUAUUUAAUGCCAGAAUGCUACCAAAAGUCAAUUAGAAAUAAAUCUAAUGAAUAAAGAGGAUGUUUAAACUGGCCAACAAUUAUUUUUAGUAUAAACAUUUUCACAGAUGGUCUUCUAACAUAAAGGAUCACACAACGAAGUUUACUUCCAGAACAGGCUUUUUGGCCCCAAUUAAAUUUGACCUUUCAAUCAUUAUCUGCUUUGGCCACAGAAAGAGUAGUAAAGCAGGAAGAAUAAGAACUGAAAUCAAAAAAAAUAAAUUCUAUUUCUGUCUGUCACUACCUCAAAUCACUGAAGUUUUCUGCGCUUUUGUUUCCUCAGGUUUAAAGGAAGGGACAAAAAUUUAGUUCAUUACUAAUGUCUCUUCCAUCUCUGAAAUAUAAAGAUUCUAACACGUGUGCUAAUAAUACCAUUAUUUAAAACAAACUAAAUAUCUGCUUUUUCCCUAAGUCUUUUAGGCAACUGAAAAACAACUAGUUUCAUAACUUCCUGUCUGUCCAUUUAUUCAUCUUUCCAUCAAUCCACCUACACGUCCUUCUAUGGACUAGAGGUAAUUCAUGUAACAGAGAGAACACAAAAUCACAGAAUUUUACAUAUUAAAAGGUCCUAAGUAGGAAUCAGGAGAUGUAGUAAACGUGAAAGACCUAGCUUCAGUGCUUCAUCAAUCAAUCCAGGUAUAUUGUCUUUUCUAUAUCUUUCUGUGUUAUCUAAAACAACUAUUCUUGACAUUGUUUAUUCCUUUGAACAUUAUCAAACACAUCAAGUACCUCAUUUAUAGAUCAUGUUAAAUAUAAAGACAUUCUUUCUUUGCCCUGAGUGACAGCUUUUCUUUUUUUUCCCACAGGGACAAAAUGUGUACUUGUAUUUUUCAAAGUUACCUCAUCAGGCUGACUAAGAAAAUACUGCUGACAGAAGUUAUACCUGUUUAUGUCUUCCUACAGACACACAUACUAUUUCUUAGAGCCAUACUGUAGUCUCAUUGUGGUCACACUUCCGUAUUUUCAUCUAAAGAAAGUAUUACAAUUUCGACAGUUUAGAUCUAGAUCUAAUCAGAGGAAUCUAGAAUGUGAGAUAGUCUAUACCACUGGCCUGAACUUUUGAAAUCAAAACAAAAAGGUGUGAGAGGUGCUGUUCUAGUUAAGAGACUAAAGAGACAUUAAUAAGUAAAGGCAGUAUCUAUCUUCACAGGAUACCAGGUGUUUUUUAAGGUUAAAACACAAAAGGCUAUAAACACAUUCCUGGACAACUGGAGAAAUAUGAAUAGAGACUGUAAUACUAGUAUAAACGUGUUAAUAGUGUCAAAGAUCAGGGAGAAGAGUGGAAGAAGAGGGAAGAAGAAAAGAAAGAGAAACAGAGCUUACGAAUAAUUCUGUUCCGUAUUUAUGUCUUCUUUCAAAAAGAUAUCUCCAUCUUCUACUUCCAAAUAGCUAAUAUCUGGUCCGUCCUGAUAUGGUGUAAUGACUCUUCUAUCCAUCGCUGGAAUCUAUUUUUUUUU